AUUGAACGCUGGCGGCAGGCCUAACACAUGCAAGUCGAGCGCGAGGCGGACGGGUGAGUAAUGUAUGGGGAUCUGCCCGAGAGAGGGGGAUAACUAAUGGAAACGGUGGCUAAUACCGCAUCCUAUCGUAUGCACCCAUAUGGGAUUAGCUAGUAGGUGGGGUAACGGCUCACCUAGGCCACGAUCUCUAGCUGGUCUGAGAGGAUGAGCAGCCACACUGGAACUGAGACACGGCCCAGACUCCUACGGGAGGCAGCAGUGGGGAAUAUUGGACAAUGGGCGAAACCCUGAUGCAGCCAUCCCGCGUGUAUGAAGAAGGCCUUCGGGUUGUAAAGUACUUUUGGCAGGGAGGCGUUACCUGCAGAAGAAGCACCGGCUAACUCCGUGCCAGCAGCCGCGGUAAUAC
rnacentral:rRNA from 1 species